CUAUUGUAUUAGGAAGGCCCCUCUAAUGAUCUCGUGAUUAAAGUCCAACAACAAGGAAAAUAAGCACUCUGAUAGCAACUUUUAAGCUUAUAAAUCAAGUAAUCGAAACCAGAGGGACUCGGAUUCAUCAAAAUCCAUCCGAGGGCUAUUCCACUGACACAGUCCAAUACAUGCAUGUAAUGUCAAAUGUCAUUCACCUGCAUGAAAAUAUUAUAACAUUAAUAUAAAUUGUUCAACGACUACAAAUGAUUCACGAAGAAAAAAUAUAAAAUAUGUACAAGAGCUCCCCCUUCUGCAAAACAGUGUUGAAAUGAUCCACACCGGCAUCAUAAAGUAAACUUCGAACAGUGGCAUCAAGCAUUAAAAAUUUGUCAGUUAGGCCAGAAAGAAUAAGUGAUAGAGCAGUG
rnacentral:lncRNA from 1 species